rnacentral:sRNA from 1 species
AGGUUCACUGUUAAUUAAUUUGCAGUUGCAUGUAAUUUUAUGUUACAUUGUCUAUGUGUGUAUUUAAAUUGUCCUCAUACACUUGUUCAUGUUCCAUUCUAAUUAUUCCCAUUUAGCUGUUAUUUUUUCAUUUUAUCACCCCCAUACAUUUCAAAAACAUUUAUAUUGUUUACAAAUUUUGUUGACAAAAUUGAUGCAUGAUUUAUGAAGAACUUCAAAAAUUAUCAAGAAUCUCAUCCAUGUGUUUCUACAACUCUGUAAAUUUAUGAGGUUUUUACAGAUUAUUCUUUCGCUGUUAUAAAUAUGGUUGUUUUGAUGACUGUUAACUCUGAAGUCAUGGCUACCUUGUGCUAUGUGUGCCCUGUGUAUUUAUUUAUGCCUGUUAAAAAAAGGUCUAGCCAGGACCUGUAUCCAUUUCUAUACUCUCUUCAAACAGUACUUGUGUACCCAUGAGGUUUUAAAUAAAACUUAUAAAUAU